rnacentral:lncRNA from 1 species
CGCGUGAGUCCUCCCACCGCCCACGCGUGACAUCCGAAAGAAAAAAAAAUGAAAUAAAUAACGUUACAUGAGCAAGGUGCAGUUCCGCCAGGAGCCGUGAGUGUGUGUGCGCGCGUGAAUGUGUGUGUGGCGUCUGUCUGAAACGUGAACCGCUUGCGUUAGACAUUCAAAACGGGGGAAAUAUCAGCACCACCAUCCUCACCAUCUUCAUCAUCCUCCUUCUGUUCCGCGCGGAAAACCUGUGCGCGCGCCAGCUAAAUUAAAUUAGAGUGGUGAAAUUAUUUGUGCGAGCUGCCUAUGAAGGGGAGGAAGGUGUGACACAGACACUACAGAGUGUGUGUUGUGGUUUGCAUUAGUGUUAAUGCUCUUACUUACUACUCUCUUAAUAAUCAGCCGUGCAAAACUGGAGCAUACAUGUCGUGAUCCGAGAAAAGCAUCGGGUUAUUCUUAUGGAUUAACAUAUGAUCUGAAUUCAACCCAGGUCGACAUUCAUGUGGAAUAACAGGAGCAGCAUUCGUGCAGGAUGUCAGGGAUGAGUAAUCCGGGAGAGACGGAGACAGAGAGAGAAACAGACAACAGAGCAGAGCUUGUGUGAACUCGUGAAAUAAAAGCAUGGAAGAAGGC